UACGGAGGAUGCGAGCGUUAUCCGGAUUUACUGGGUGUAAAGGGAGCGUAGACGGCAGCGCAAGUCUGGAGUGAAAUCCCAUGGCUUAACCAUGGAACUGCUUUGGAAACUGUGCAGCUGGAGUGCAGGAGAGGUAAGCGGAAUUCCUAGUGUAGCGGUGAAAUGCGUAGAUAUUAGGAGGAACACCAGUGGCGAAGGCGGAUUGCUGGACAGUAACUGACGCUGAGGCGCGAAAGCGUGGGUAUCGAACAGG
rnacentral:rRNA from 1 species